rnacentral:lncRNA from 1 species
CCACAAUUAAAAAAACGUAAGUUGAUGACUAUUUUAAGUAAUAUCUUAAUUGAAGAAACUAGAAAUAUGGUCGUUACUCAUAGAUCUAAUGCACAUCUCUCUUCUUCUGUUGCAGAUUUUGUACAUAUCAAUAAGCCACGUCAAUUUUCUUUGCUUUUUUUUCUUACAUAUAGCGGUUUGGUUACAUUUUUGCCGUUACAUUCAUUGCUAUGUUCAUCUUUUGAAAUUUUAUUCUCGGUUGCAAGGCAGAUCGAAAAAAAAAAAAAAAAAGUCUUUUGAUUUUUAUGGGUAUAAUGGGGUGGCGAAUCACUCGCUCUCGGCUUGUAUUACCUUUUAUUCGAACACUUUGUAUUAAGUUUGUUCGAUAUUUGCAUAAGAAAUUCGGGAAGCAUCGACUUUUCUACGCUAGAAUAAAUCUAAACUCUAGGCCUAUCUGUUUUGCUACAUUUAGACUUUCUACUUCAAAAAUAGGCUAAAAUUUCGUAUAAAUUUUUGUGGAUUGGAU